rnacentral:lncRNA from 1 species
UUUUAAAUGCCACUGUUCGUAUAUACCAAUAUCCCAAUCCAAAAUAAAAAAAUGCAAGCGCAAAGAACUAUGAAUAACACUUCUUUUUUGGUUUCGAGAUAUGAGUUCUGUUGCUGAAUAGUAUAGACUACAGAAUAGAAUGAGCGAAAAAAGGGGAGUGUAAAUUUGGGUAUGGAAAGGAGGAGAAGAUGAGUAGAUAGGAGAAUGACU